rnacentral:rRNA from 1 species
GACGAACGCUGGCGGCGUGCUUAACACAUGCAAGUCGAACGGAAAGGCCCUGCUUUUGUGGGGUGCUCGAGUGGCGAACGGGUGAGUAACACGUGAGUAACCUGCCCUUGACUUUGGGAUAACUUCAGGAAACUGGGGCUAAUACCGGAUAGGAGCUCCUGCUGCAUGGUGGGGGUUGGAAAGUUUCGGCGGUUGGGGUUGGACUCGCGGCUUAUCAGCUUGUUGGUGGGGUAGUGGCUUACCAAGGCUUUGACGGGUAGCCGGCCUGAGAGGGUGACCGGCCACAAUGAGACUGAGAUACGGCCCAGACUCCUACGGGAGGCAGCAGUGGGGAAUAUUGCACAAAGGGCGGAAGCCUGAUGCAGCAACGCCGCGUGCGGGAUGACGGCCUUCGGGUUGUAAACCGCUUUCGCCUGUGACGAAGCGUGAGUGACGGUAAUGGGUAAAGAAGCACCGGCUAACUACGUG